UGCUCCGGCACCGAGAGCGGUCUUUCCCAAAGAACGACGAGGUGAAAGAACCCCACCCAACCCACCCCCUCCCCUCCGCAGGGGCAAACUCACUCGCGAGGGUGAAUAUCGCCAACUCGGCUGGCGUGGCGUUGGGUUGCGCGCUCUACGCUCGGCGCGAGCAGCAGGUCACAAGGCCGCGAAAAUACAUCGGCCCCCGGCCGGGAGUAGCGAUCCCGAUCGAGGGCCUGACCACCGAGGAAAAACCCCAUUCCUG
rnacentral:ncRNA from 1 species